AGCAGCCGCGGUAAUUCCAGCUCCAAUAGCGUAUAUUAAAGUUGUUGCAGUUAAAAAGCUCGUAGUUGAAUCUCGGGAUCAGCAGGUCGGUCGUGCCACUGGUAUGCACUGGCCUUGCUGAUUCCUCCCUCUUGAUGAGCCGUAAUGCCAUUAAUUUGGUGUUGCGGGGAAUCAGGACUGUUACUUUGAAAAAAUUUAGAGUGUUUAAAGCAGGCUGCGCUUGAAUACAUUAGCAUGGAAUAAUGAAAUAGGACGUUCGAUCCUAUUUUGUUGGUUUCUAGGAUUGACGUAAUGAUUAAUAGGGAUAGUUGGGGGCAUUAGUAUUCAAUUGUCAGGGGUGAAAUUCUUGGAUUUAUUGAAGACUAACUACUGCGAAAGCAUUUGCCAAGGAUGUUUUCAUUAAUCAAGAACGAAAGUUAGGGGAUCGAAGACGAUCAGAUACCGUCGUAGUCUUAACCAUAAACUAUGCCGACUAGGGAUCGGAUGAUGUUAAUUUUUUUAAUGACUCAUUCGGCGCCUU
rnacentral:rRNA from 1 species